UACAGAGGUCUCAAGCGUUGUUCGGAUUCAUUGGGCGUAAAGGGUGCGUAGGCGGCGCGGUAAGUCGGGUGUGAAAUCUUGGAGCUUAACUCCGAAACUGCAUUCGAUACUGCCGUGCUUGAGGACUGGAGAGGAGACUGGAAUUUACGGUGUAGCGGUGAAAUGCGUAGAUAUCGUAAGGAAGACCAGUGGCGAAGGCGGGUCUCUGGACAGUUCCUGACGCUGAAGCACGGAAGGCCAGGGGAGCAAACGGG
rnacentral:rRNA from 1 species